CUACGGGCGGCAGCAGUGAGGAAUAUUGCGCAAUGGGCGAAAGCCUGACGCAGCAACGCCGCGUGAGUGAAGAAGGCCCUCUGGGUUGUAAAGCUCUGUAAGAAGGGAAGAAACUAUGGCUAUAAGCCGUAUGGACGGUACCUUCAGAGUAAGCUCCGGCUAACUCCGUGCCAGCAGCCGCGGUAAUACGGGGGGAGCAAACGUUGUCCGGAUUUAUUGGGCGUAAAGGGCAUGUAGGCGGGCCCACAAGUCAGUGGUGAAAUGUAACGGCUUAACCGUUAAGGCGCCAUUGAAACUGGGAUCUUGAAUUAAGGAGAGGGAAACGGAAUUCCAGGUGUAGCGGUGGAAUGCAUAGAUAUCUGGAAGAACACCAAAAGCGAAGGCAGUUUCCUGGCCAUGGAUUGACGCUGAUGUGCGAAAGCGUGGGGAGCAAACAGGAUUAGAUACCCGUGUAGUC
rnacentral:rRNA from 1 species